GACGAACGCUGGCGGCGUGCUUAACACAUGCAAGUCGAACGGAAAGGCCCUGCUUUUGUGGGGUGCUCGAGUGGCGAACGGGUGAGUAACACGUGAGUAACCUGCCCUUGACUUUGGGAUAACUUCAGGAAACUGGGGCUAAUACCGGAUAGGAGCUCCUGCUGCAUGGUGGGGGUUGGAAAGUUUCGGCGGUUGGGGAUGGACUCGCGGCUUAUCAGCUUGUUGGUGGGGUAGUGGCUUACCAAGGCUUUGACGGGUAGCCGGCCUGUGAGGGUGACCGGCCACGUUGGGAAUGGGAUGCGGCCCAGACUACUACGGGAGGCAGCAGUGGGGAAUAUUGCAGAAUGGGCGGAAGCCAGAUGCAGCAACGCCGCGUGCGGGAUGACGGCCUUCGGGUUGUAAACCGCUUUCGCCUGUGACGAAGCGUGAGUGACGGUAAUGGGUAAAGGAGCACCCGCUAACUACGUG
rnacentral:rRNA from 1 species